rnacentral:rRNA from 1 species
UACGAAGGGGGCUAGCGUUGUUCGGAAUUACUGGGCGUAAAGCGUGCGCAGGCGGCUUCUCAAGUCAGGGGUGAAAGCCCAGAGCUCAACUCUGGAAUUGCCUUUGAGACUGAGUGGCUUGAGUACGAGAGAGGUGAGUGGAAUUCCCAGUGUAGAGGUGAAAUUCGUAGAUAUUGGGAGGAACACCAGUGGCGAAGGCGGCUCACUGGACCGGUUCUGACGCUGAGGCGCGAAAGCGUGGGGAGCAAACGGG